AGAACAUUUUGGUGCUGGAGAUGGCACAACAUUGCACAUGGUUGCAGAAGCAGGCAGAGGAGCUUGAGAACAAGGUGGCUGAGAAUGAACAGGGCAACAAAGGACUUUGCUGUCUCUUAGGUCCUGAGGCUUCUGCCCAUCUUCAUGUUGAGGACGAGGAUCAAAGUGCCCUCAGCAGUCCAGACACUAGUGACGACGAAGAGGAUAUCACAAUUUAGAUUGAUGCUGCAGGACAGACUGUGGUGAAGGACAUGGACUUGGAUCUGCCUGCCUCCCACUCUACACCUGCCCUGCUGCUGCAAUCAAGCCACCUGGUUUCCGCCAGCUCAUUACCAAAUCUGCACUUAUGGUGCAUUCCAGACAACCUAUCUCGUUUUCUAUUUCAUAUGUGGUCAAC